rnacentral:rRNA from 1 species
UCUGAUGUGAAAGCCCCCGGCUCAACCGGGAGGUCAUUGGAAACUGGGAACUUGAGUGCAGAAGAGGAGAGUGGAAUUCCACGUGUAGCGGUGAAAUGCGUAGAGAUGUGGAGGAACACCAGUGGCGAAGGCGACUCUCUGGUCUGUAACUGACGCUGAGGCGCGAAAGCGUGGGGAGCGAACAGGAUUAGAUACCCUGGUAGUCCACGCCGUAAACGAUGAGUGCUAAGUGUUAGAGGGUUUCCGCCCUUUAGUGCUGCAGCAAACGCAUUAAGCACUCCGCCUGGGGAGUACGGUCGCAAGACUGAAACUCAAAGGAAUUGACGGGGGCCCGCACAAGCGGUGGAGCAUGUGGUUUAAUUCGAAGCAACGCGAAGAACCUUACCAGGUCUUGACAUCUUCUGACAACCCUAGAGAUAGGGCUUCCCCUUCGGGGGCAGAGUGACAGGUGGUGCAUGGUUGUCGUCAGCUCGUGUCGUGAGAUGUUGGGUUAAGUCCCGCAACGAGCGCAACCCUUGAUCUUAGUUGCCAGCAUUCAGUUGGGCACUCUAAGGUGACUGCCGGUGACAAACCGGAGGAAGGUGGGGAUGACGUCAAAUCAUCAUGCCCCUUAUGACCUGGGCUACACACGUGCURCAAUGGGCAGAACAAAGGGCAGCAAAGCCGCGAGGYUAAGCCAAUCCCACAAAUCUGUUKUCAGUUCGGAUCGCAGUCUGCAACUCGACUGCGUGAAGCUGGAAUCGCUAGUAAUCGCGGAUCASCAUGCCGCGGUGAAUACGUUCCCGGSCCUUGUACACACCUCCCGUCACACCACGAGAGUUUGUAACACCCGAA